CGAAGGGGGCUAGCGUUGCUCGGAAUUACUGGGCGUAAAGGGAGCGUAGGCGGGUUAUCAAGUUGGAGGCGAAAGCCCAGGGCUCAACCUUGGAAUUGCCUUCAAAACUGAUAACCUAGAGGAUGAUAGAGGUAAGUGGAACUCCGAGUGUAGAGGUGAAAUUCGUAGAUAUUCGGAAGAACACCAGUGGCGAAGGCGACUUACUGGAUCAUUACUGACGCUGAGGCUCGAAAGCGUGGGGAGCAAACAGGAUUAGAUACCCUGGUAGUCCACGCCGUAAACGAUGAUUGCUAGUUGUCAGCCGGCAUGCCGGUUGGUGACGCAGCUAACGCAUUAAGCAAUCCGCCUGGGGAGUACGGUCGCAAGAUUA
rnacentral:rRNA from 1 species